CCCGGUGAAUUUUUAACGGCCGCAGUUAGUAGCUGUGCUAAGGUAGCGUAGUAAGUUGUCCUUUAAAUGGGGAAAGGAAUGAAUGGUUUGACGUAAGAAAUUCUGUCUCUUGAGGAAGUAAUGAAAUUUCCUUUCUAGUGCAAAGGCUAGAAUAAAAUUAAAAGACGAGAAGACCCUUUCGAGCUUGAUUAAAUAAUAUAUUCUCAUAUUAGGAAAAUUUGGUUGGGGCAACUAAGGAGCAAAAGUAGACUCCUUGAAGUAAUAGGGAUCCAAAAAUUUUGAAACAGAGAAAAAGCUACCGUAGGGAUAACAGCGUUAUCUUUCCUGAGAGAACAAAUUGAAGGGAAG
rnacentral:rRNA from 1 species